rnacentral:rRNA from 1 species
UACGUAGGGAGCAAGCGUUGUUCGGAUCUACUGGGCGUAAAGGGCGCGUAGGCGGCGUGUCAAGUCGAUUGUGAAAUCUCCGGGCUUAACUCGGAACGGCCAAUCGAUACUGACGUGCUAGAGUGCAGAAAGGGCAAUCGGAAUUCUUGGUGUAGCGGUGAAAUGCGUAGAUAUCAAGAGGAACACCUGAGGCGAAGGCGGGUUGCUAGGCUGACACUGACGCUGAGUGCGCGAAAGCCAGGGGAGCAAACGGG